rnacentral:rRNA from 1 species
GACGAACGCUGGCGGCGUGCCUAAUACAUGCAGGUUGAGCGCUGAAGGUUGGUACUUGUACCGACUGGAUGAGCAGCGAACGGGUGAGUAACGCGUGGGGAAUCUGCCUUUGAGCGGGGGACAACAUUUGGAAACGAAUGCUAAUACCGCAUAAAAACUUUAAACACAAGUUUUAAGUUUGGAAGAUGCAAUUGCAUCACUCAAAGAUGAUCCCGCGUUGUAUUAGCUAGUUGGUGAGGUAAAGGCUCACCAAGGCGAUGAUACAUAGCCGACCUGAGAGGGUGAACGGCCACAUUGGGACUGAGACACGGCCCAAACUCCUACGGGAGGCAGCAGUAGGGAAUCUUCGGCAAUGGACGAAAGGCUGACCGAGCAACGCCGCGUGAGUGAAGAAGGUUUUCGGAUCGUAAAACUCUGUUGGUAGAGAAGAACGUUGGUGAGAGUGGAAAGCUCAUCAAGUGACAGUAACUACACAGAAAGGGACGGCUAACUACGUG